AGUGGGGAAUAUUGCACAAUGGGCGCAAGCCUGAUGCAGCCAUGCCGCGUGUGUGAAGAAGGCCUUCGGGUUGUAAAGCACUUUCAGUCGUGAGGAAGGUGGUAGUGUUAAUAGCACUAUCAUUUGACGUUAGCGACAGAAGAAGCACCGGCUAACUCCGUGCCAGCAGCCGCGGUAAUACGGAGGGUGCGAGCGUUAAUCGGAAUUACUGGGCGUAAAGCGCAUGCAGGUGGUUUGUUAAGUCAGAUGUGAAAGCCCGGGGCUCAACCUCGGAAUAGCAUUUGAAACUGGCAAGCUAGAGUACUGUAGAGGGGGGUAGAAUUUCAGGUGUAGCGGUGAAAUGCGUAGAGAUCUGAAGGAAUACCGGUGGCGAAGGCGGCCCCCUGGACAGAUACUGACACUCAGAUGCGAAAGCGUGGGGAGCAAACAGGAUUAGAUACCCUGGUAGUCCACGCCGUAAACGAUGUCUACUUGGAGGUUGUGGCCUUGAGCCGUGGCUUUCGGAGCUAACGCGUUAAGUAGACCGCCUGGGGAGUACGGUCGCAAGAUUA
rnacentral:rRNA from 1 species